rnacentral:rRNA from 1 species
AGAGUUUGAUCCUGGCUCAGGACGAACGCUGGCGGCGCGCCUAACACAUGCAAGUCGAACGAGAGAGAGGGAGCUUGCUUCCUCAAUCGAGUGGCGAACGGGUGAGUAACGCGUGAGGAACCUGCCUCAAAGAGGGGGACAACAGUUGGAAACGACUGCUAAUACCGCAUAAGCCCACGGCUCGGCAUCGAGCAGAGGGAAAAGGAGCAAUCCGCUUUGAGAUGGCCUCGCGUCCGAUUAGCUAGUUGGUGAGGUAAUGGCCCACCAAGGCGACGAUCGGUAGCCGGACUGAGAGGUUGAACGGCCACAUUGGACUGAGACACGGCCCAGACUCCUACGGGAGGCAGCAGUGGGGAAUAUUGCACAAUGGGGGAAACCCUGAUGCAGCGACGCCGCGUGGAGGAAGAAGGUCUUCGGAUUGUAAACUCCUGUUGUUGAGGAAGAUAAUGACGGUACUCAACAAGGAAGUGACGGCUAACUACGUGCCAGCAGCCGCGGUAAAACGUAGGUCACAAGCGUUGUCCGGAAUUACUGGGUGUAAAGGGAGCGCAGGCGGGCGAUCAAGUUGGAAGUGAAAUCCAUGGGCUCAACCCAUGAACUGCUUUCAAAACUGAUUGUCUUGAGUAGUGCAGAGGUAGGCGGAAUUCCCGGUGUAGCGGUGGAAUGCGUAGAUAUCGGGAGGAACACCAGUGGCGAAGGCGGCCUACUGGGCACCAAUUGACGCUGAGGCUCGAAAGUGUGGGUAGCAAACAGGAUUAGAUACCCUGGUAGUCCACACCGUAAACGAUGAUUACUAGGUGUUGGAGGAUUGACCCCUUCAGUGCCGCAGUUAACACAAUAAGUAAUCCACCUGGGGAGUACGACCGCAAGGUUGAAACUCAAAGGAAUUGACGGGGGCCCGCACAAGCAGUGGAGUAUGUGGUUUAAUUCGACGCAACGCGAAGAACCUUACCAAGUCUUGACAUCCUGCGACGAUGCUAGAAAUAGUAUUUUCCUUCGGGACGCAGAGACAGGUGGUGCAUGGUUGUCGUCAGCUCGUGUCGUGAGAUGUUGGGUUAAGUCCCGCAACGAGCGCAACCCUUAUGGUCAGUUACUACGCAAGAGGACUCUGGCCAGACUGCCGUUGACAAAACGGAGGAAGGUGGGGAUGACGUCAAAUCAUCAUGCCCUUUAUGACUUGGGCUACACACGUACUACAAUGGCGUUAAACAAAGAGAAGCAAGACCGCGAGGUGGAGCAAAACUCAGAAACAACGUCCCAGUUCGGACUGCAGGCUGCAACUCGCCUGCACGAAGUCGGAAUUGCUAGUAAUCGUGGAUCAGCAUGCCACGGUGAAUACGUUCCCGGGCCUUGUACACACCGCCCGUCACACC